GUGGGGAAUAUUGGACAAUGGGCGCAAGCCUGAUCCAGCCAUGCCGCGUGUGUGAAGAAGGCCUUAUGGUUGUAAAGCACUUUAAGCGAGGAGGAGGCUACUUUAGAUAAUACCUAGAGAUAGUGGACGUUACUCGCAGAAUAAGCACCGGCUAACUCUGUGCCAGCAGCCGCGGUAAUACAGAGGGUGCAAGCGUUAAUCGGAUUUACUGGGCGUAAAGCGCGCGUAGGCGGCUAAUUAAGUCAAAUGUGAAAUCCCCGAGCUUAACUUGGGAAUUGCAUUCGAUACUGGUUAGCUAGAGUGUGGGAGAGGAUGGUAGAAUUCCAGGUGUAGCGGUGAAAUGCGUAGAGAUCUGGAGGAAUACCGAUGGCGAAGGCAGCCAUCUGGCCUAACACUGACGCUGAGGUGCGAAAGCAUGGGGAGCAAACAGGA
rnacentral:rRNA from 1 species